rnacentral:lncRNA from 10 species
GAGAAGCUGCACUCUCAGAGAGUGAAGAACUCAAUUCCAGGGAGCUUGACAUAGGUGGUGCAUGAAGUGUCUCAAGAGGAAGCAGAGAAUAAGAUCUCAGUUACACAGUCUGGGCAAGAAUACAAGAAAAUCACCCAAAAAACUGCGACCAUCAGAGGAGCCUCCAUGUUAGAGUCUCUGGGCCUCUGUCUCUUCAGAAUCCACCCUGGAAACAGUGUGCAUCAAAACACUUUGGAGUUCUUAGAGGCACUUGGAAUUAUCUGCUGGCUUCCCACCUUUAAAGAGACUGGGCUAGUUAAAUAUCCCCCUCUGUUCAUUUUUUUAAAUUUGUGAGUUUAUUUUUUGAUUAUUACUCUAAUUGGGGGCUAACAUUAACAUUUACUGGGCAAGUGUCAGGGAGGUCAACAUUAUGCAUGUUUGAGAUAGUCCUUUGCCAUGAAGAAUUGUUCUGUGUCCCAUGUGACUUUUGUAUGUCCAACUGGGCAGUUGUGAAUUCAGAAAACCUCGUGUAUAAUUAUUCAAACUCAAAGCCUAACUCCAUUUUACAUGCAAACACAAUGUAUUUAUUACACAGUUUUAAUACACCCUAAAUUUUCUAGGAAUAAAACUUUGUACUUUGUUCAGAACUUUUCUUUUUUUAAAGUAAGUUGUUCAUUGUUUUGGAAAUUUGCAUAACUGUUAGACAAUUGUUCAAGGGCUUUAAUUGUCUAAACAGCACAUAA